rnacentral:tRNA from 1 species
GCGCCCGUAGCUCAGCUGGACAGAGCAUCUCGCUUCGAACGAGAGGGUCGCGGGUUCGAAUCCUGCCGGGCGUGCCA